ACUGCCACUAGGGAAGGAUUUCUUUCUAGAGCUCUCUCAUUCUGGAGUUUUCUGCUGCGAGCCUAGGACAUGGUGAUGCGUACUUGCUAAUUAUGGAGAGAAGGAGAAAGAGCUGCUCAAAUGAGGAAAAGUGGCAGACAGUGUUGAUGUCCAGUAGCCAGGUUAAUACUGAGACUUCCCUCCAUCCUUCCUCUUAUUCUAAGGAAGGCUUGAACCAACUUGAACUUCACAAGAAUGACUUGCUCCAUGAAGAUGGUGUGGGGAGUAGAUCUGGUUUGUCCACAAAUGCAGGGACAUUUUUUUCAAAAUAACUCUAUUCAGUUUCUUUAAGAAGCUAGCCUCAGUUCUUGGGCUGCCUAAAGAGUAGCUGUGCCUGCAUAAGUAAAUGAAAACUCUGGUGUUAUAUACAUCAGAGUAUAAAAUGCUUUUUAAAUGCAAAGUUUAUUCUGAAAUCAACAGAAGCAUCAUCAGUCAUCAUGAUAAAUUCUAGACAGCAUGCUUUGAGAAGUUAAUCUCACUUAUUAAAAUGAUAAAUGUAGAGGAAUAUGGAACUUGUCAUAGUGGAGUAGACUCACUUCUGCAUUUGAUUCAGUAUCCUGCAUCAAAGCAUGUCAUUGGAUACUACAAAUCUGCUGUGCCUGGCCUCACCAUGACAAACAAAUUUACUGAUUGCCCUCAAGUGUGAAGGUGUCCCAAACAUAUUUGGAACCCUCUAUGUCUUUGAAAGGAUCAGAGUUCUGCUUCUAGAUGCUUUUGGACAUUCAUCCCACUGAAAUUCACUGGUGAUGUUCCUGUGAGUUAUCUCUGUGUUUUAAUGUAACUCCUACUCUUUGAAUGAGUCUUACCCACAAAAUGUAAGCGUAUCAUGUCUGACAUGGAAUAUUUGGCAUCACCUGUGUUUUGGAAUGAUGCUUCAGAGACAUGGACCUUUUCUGGCACCUAAUCUCUGAGAUCACACAAGGUUGAUCUAGGGGAUGGCUUUAAACUUGUUAGAGAGACCAGUGAGAGAACAAUUCUUACUUGUGGGUCUUUUGGGUAACUGUGGUAGACUAAAAGCACAUGGAGGUAAAUAUUAAUGUCACUGACAGCAUUGUCAUCUCCUAGAGUUAAUUAAGGUACUGUCAGCAUAUGACAGCUUUACCCAGUCAUGAACUACUGUCUAAAAUGAAAUAUUACUCCCACAAGUUUAUAGUAAUUCCUUGUACGACUACAGACUGUUGUUUCCAAGCUUUUCUUUUUCCCUUUCUUUUUUUCACUGCUCAGCACUUUCAUUUCAUUUUAGCUGAGCAGAGAUGGGCUUGUGGCUGCUAGUGGUUCACAUCACAUCUACUGGAAUUCAGCAUUGCUUCUUGCUACUCCAAGGCUCUGGCCCAGACUUGGGAUGCUUAAAUGGUUCUCUGGACCUCUGUACGGUGAAAAACACUGAAGGCCAAGCAGAAUCUGUUACAAUAGGAGCAGAAAACAUAACUCCUAUCUUCCUGUCACCUCUAUCUGAAUAUCUUUGCAAGUAAAAACUGAAUUUGGGUUGAGAUUGAACUUGGUUCUUUUUCAUGGUUUCUUCCUUCUUUAGAAAGCACCAGAUGUUAUUGAAAGGCAAUGUGCACUUAGUUCUGAGAAAUGUGCAGUCCACAAACCCUUCUCAGGCUCUUACCAACAAAAACUUACCCGGGGAAGAUGAGAGCUUCUGCUUCUUGACACCUUUUCCACUUGCCCUUUGCACCAGGAGCAAGACUCUCACAGUCAAAUGAAAAUAUGCUUGUGAAUGUGGAUGCUAGUUUGGGGAUGUGGGAAGAGGGAAAGUGGUUGUUCUUUAAUGUUGUUGUUUUUGCUGCAAUAAUGUUUUUGUUUUGUUUUUGAUUUCUAAGUUCCUCUCAAAACUUUUGAUAUGCAUCUGUUUAUGCGGAUUGGAAAAUUUAGGGCUAUG